rnacentral:rRNA from 1 species
UACGAAGGGGGCUAGCGUUGGCUCGGAAUCACUGGCGUAAAGCGCACGUAGGCGGCUUUCUAAGUCAGGGGUGAAAUCCUGGAGCUCAACUCCAGAACUGCCCUUGAUACUGGAAGCUUGAGUUCGGGAGAGGUGAGUGGAACUGCGAGUGUAGAGGUGAAAUUCGUAGAUAUUCGCAAGAACACCAGUGGCGAAGGCGGCUCACUGGCCCGAUACUGACGCUGAGGUGCGAAAGCGUGGGGAGCAAACAGG